GGGAACAGUUGGAGCUGUCUGCUUUAUCUAUCACAAACAUCUGAUAUAUGACAGCGCGAGAGAGAGGGGGAGAGAGAGAGAGAGAGAGAGAGAGAGAGAGAGAAGGUAAUUGCGAUGAUGCAACUUUCUACUGAACAGAUUUCAUCGGGGUGACUGUGUUCAGACUGCAAUAAUGAGAUCUCUAGGCUGGUCAGUGUUUGAGAGCUAGGCUGUCCCCGUAUCACAGUGAGGCUGAGGUGAGUAAAUAUUUACAGCUGUGUGGCAGGACACUUGACUGCAGGUUCCCAGGACCACGGGAAAGUAAACAGCUUUAGCACACUGGGAACUCCCUGCUUAUAAAACACACAGCAAGGCCUACGCUACCUACACACACACAUCCCUCAGGGUAUUACAGCAAGCAGACGGCAUUCCCUCAUGCAUGAAUAAGCACAAGGCAUGAACGCACCUGCAUCUCUCUCUCUCACACACACACAAACACACACACUUUUUUUUUUUUUUCUUUCCAUAACAGCAAAGAAAGCAAGCUGGAAAGGCGACUCUAAAGUGAGCAUUCAUCCAGCUGGAAACAGUGACGAGGAACAAAGUAGCUAAAAAUAAAUAAAUAAUUCAAUUGCAGUUUUCCAAUUGAAAUCAUAAAGGUCACAUAAGUUGGGAGUGACACGAGGGUGUGUGUGGGGGCCUGAUAAAUGAGGGAAAAGGAGGGGCGAAGGAAAGAAAACAAGGCCCUUAUUCUCAGAACUUUUUCUCAAUUCUGCCUUUCAGAUAAAAACCGAGAAAGAAAAAAAAAAAAAAAAGAAAAAAAAAAUGUGUAUAUGACGGAUCAGGAGCGGUCGGAACAAACUGGAAGUGUGUUUUGGUUGAAUGAGUGUGGCUACAAGAACACAAUCUGAGGACUGAGAGAGAGAAAAAAAAUACCUUUACAUGUAUUCUGGCUGAGACAAUAAUCUGAUUCGUUAGAACUAUUUAUUUAAAAAGGCGUAGCAUUAUAACUUUCAAUCCAGAAAUGUUAACCAAGUUGAAGAGUAACACUAACACUACAUUUCAUUUCCUUCCUAUUCAGAAUCUGUACUUCGCGUAAUCCUUCCUGCUUGACUGGAAGCACUAUUGAUUCGAGGUUACCGGCUGCGAGUCAGGUGGGGAGUUUGUGUGUUUGCAAAUUACGCAUAAUGCGAUCCUUCUUCCAGCUUCGAUCCAAAGGCCGAUCGUUUCUCCUCUACCCGGCUGUACGAAGAAAAGUGAGAGAUACUGGAGUAAAUGGCCUGCAUGCGCUU